UGGAGUUUUUGUAGAUUUUCAAAAUAAGACUCAGAGAUUCCUUGUAUGACUCUCUCAAUUCUCUCUUUUGUGGUAUUUCUGGAUCCUUACCAAGACAGUGAUGAUAUAUGCCUUCUCUCAAAGUAUGUGGUAUUUGUGGUAUGAGGCAUAAUGAUAUUGCCUUCUCUCUCACCCUACUCUAACAAGGUUUUGAUAUCUGGAGCUCAUAGGUGGGAGACAGCUAAUACAUACUUACAAGACAUUUAUUGCAUAGUCAAACCAUAGAUCCAGAGAAACAAGUCAAUAAGUCAAAUCAAGAUGUGCAUGUGUGGUGAAUGAAUGGUGUAUGGUGAUGAUGGUGAAAACAUUGGUGAAAGUCUAAUUCUACUUUUGCUCUUUUGAGGGGAUACAUACCUUUCUUGCACUUUGAAGCUUUUUGAAGGGAAUGAGAUGCUCUAUAUUUUCUUUUUUUUCUUAUCUCUCAGGUGGGUACCUUGUACCCCUAAUUCUACUGUCGGACACUUGUCCAUUUUUACCUCUCAUUUCACUUUUUCUUUUCUUCGAGGUUUCGGGCACUUGUCCCUUUUUAUUUCCUCGUAUUCACUCUUUUUUUUAGAGCACUCACCCUCCUAGAAUAAUGUAGCAAGUGGUAGUAACCAAAAUAUCAAGAGCAUUUAUUUCACGG
rnacentral:lncRNA from 1 species